rnacentral:rRNA from 1 species
CUUGUAGCGGUGGAUGUCUUGGUUCUGGGAACGAUGAAGAACGCAGUGAAGUGCGAUAAGUAAUGCGAAUUGCAAAACUCAGUGAAUCAUCGAAAUUUUGAACGCUCAUGGCGCUUGGGGCAUCCCGCUCCAAGCAUGCUUCUUUGAGUGCCUG